rnacentral:rRNA from 1 species
GACGAACGCUGGCGGCGUGCUUAACACAUGCAAGUCGAGCGGAGCGGCGGACGGGUGAGUAACGCGUGAGUAACUGCCCCCCUCUCUGGGAUAACAGUUGGAAACGGCUGCUAAUACCGGAUAGUGGGGGAUGACUCGCGUCCUAUCGGCUUGUUGGUGGGGUAGUGGCCUACCAAGGCGACGACGGGUAGCCGGCCUGGGAGGGCGACCGACCACAUUGGGCUGAGGUACGGCCCAAGCUCUGACGUGAGGCAGCGGGGGGGAGUAGUGCACAAUGAGGGAAACGCUGAUGAAGAAACGCCGCGUGCGGGAUGACGGCCUUCGGGUUGUAAACCGCUUUCGGCCAUGACGCGUUAGUGGCAGAAGAAGCACCGGCUAACUACGUGCCAGCAGCCGCGGUAAUAC